AUUGAACGCUGGCGGCAUGCCUUACACAUGCAAGUCGAACGGUAACAGGUCUUCGGAUGCUGACGAGUGGCGAACGGGUGAGUAAUGCAUCGGAACGUGCCCAGUCGUGGGGGAUAACGCAGCGAAAGCUGCGCUAAUACCGCAUACGAUCUAUGGAUGAAAGCGGGGGACCGUAAGGCCUCGCGCGAUUGGAGCGGCCGAUGUCAGAUUAGGUAGUUGGUGGGGUAAAGGCUCACCAAGCCAACGAUCUGUAGCUGGUCUGAGAGGACGACCAGCCACACUGGGACUGGGACACGGCCUAGACUCCUACGGGAGGCAGCAGUGGGGAAUUUUGGACAAUGGGCGCAAGCCUGAUCCAGCAAUGCCGCGUGCAGGAAGAAGGCCUUCGGGUUGUAAACUGCUUUUGUACGGAACGAAAAGGCUCUGGUUAAUACCUGGGGCUCAUGACGGUACCGUAAGAAUAAGCACCGGCUAACUACGUGCCAGCCGCCGCUGUAACAC
rnacentral:rRNA from 1 species